rnacentral:rRNA from 1 species
GGGGAAAGAUUUAUCGCCGAAAGAUUGGCCCGCGUCUGAUUAGCUUGUUGGUGAGGUAACGGCUCACCAAGGCGACGAUCAGUAGCUGGUCUGAGAGGAUGAUCAGCCACAUUGGGACUGAGACACGGCCCAGACUCCUACGGGAGGCAGCAGUGGGGAAUCUUGCGCAAUGGGCGAAAGCCUGACGCAGCAACGCCGCGUGAGCGAAGACGGCCUUCGGGUUGUAAACCUCUUUCAGUAGGGAAGAAGCGUAAGUGACGGUACCUGCAGAAGAAGCGCCGGCUAACUACGUGCCAGCAGCCGCGGUAAUACGUAGGGCGCAAGCGUUAUCCGGAAUUAUUGGGCGUAAAGAGCUCGUAGGCGGUUUGUCGCGUCUGCCGUGAAAGUCCGGGGCUCAACUCCGGAUCUGCGGUGGGUACGGGCAGACUAGAGUGAUGUAGGGGAGACUGGAAUUCCUGGUGUAGCGGUGAAAUGCGCAGAUAUCAGGAGGAACACCGAUGGCGAAGGCAGGUCUCUGGGCAUUAACUGACGCUGAGGAGCGAAAGCAUGGGGAGCGAACAGGAUUAGAUACCCUGGUAGUCCAUGCCGUAAACGUUGGGCACUAGGUGUGGGGGACAUUCCACGUUUUCCGCGCCGUAGCUAACGCAUUAAGUGCCCCGCCUGGGGAGUACGGCCGCAAGGCUAAAACUCAAAGGAAUUGACGGGGGCCCGCACAAGCGGCGGAGCAUGCGGAUUAAUUCGAUGCAACGCGAAGAACCUUACCAAGGCUUGACAUGGACCGGUAACACCUGGAAACAGGUGCCCCGCUUGCGGUCGGUUCACAGGUGGUGCAUGGUUGUCGUCAGCUCGUGUCGUGAGAUGUUGGGUUAAGUCCCGCAACGAGCGCAACCCUCGUUCCAUGUUGCCAGCGCGUAAUGGCGGGGACUCAUGGGAGACUGCCGGGGUCAACUCGGAGGAAGGUGGGGACGACGUCAAAUCAUCAUGCCCCUUAUGUCUUGGGCUUCACGCAUGCUACAAUGGCCGGUACAAAGGGUUGCGAUACUGUGAGGUGGAGCUAAUCCCAAAAAGCCGGUCUCAGUUCGGAUUGGGGUCUGCAACUCGACCCCAUGAAGUCGGAGUCGCUAGUAAUCGCAGAUCAGCAACGCUGCGGUGAAUACGUUCCCGGGCCUUGUACACACCGCCCGUC